AGCUGCUGGACACUGGAAAAUUGAUU
rnacentral:piRNA from 1 species